AUGCCUGGACCAGAAGCCAGCACCACCCUCAGGGCUUCACUGGAGGAGCUGUCACUGGGGCCAGUGCGGUUUCCCCUACUGCUGCAGGACCAGGAGAGGAUUCGUCCAACAGUGAAUCAGAGCAGGAGGGGCCCCAGAAGCUGGUCCAUAAAGUGUCCACCUCUGGACAGAUGGGGACCAAGUAGCAUUGAUCUUCCCAGACUGAUAACUGCUGAAAUCCAGGUCACGGCUCACCUCACCAAACUCAAAGCAAGGAGUGAGGAGAGGGAGACUCUAGACAGCCACUGGACUACAACCAUCGGCUCUGAAAUAAUGAGAAACUAUUGUAAGCAGACAGAUGCCUUGAUGUCUCUGAGAAGUUGCAAAAGAGACAGCUGUCUAUGAAGAUAGAAGCUAGACCGCCUGUCAAGCUGACAUGGAAUGAAGAGCUACAGUUCCAUCUUCAUUACAUCCUGAAAUUGAGCUCCAUCUUCAAAUUGAUGCCUCAGAAUCCAUAGGAGCCAUCAAGCAAAGAAAUACACCCUGACAGGUUGUCAUGGCCUCCGCAUAUGUGAAGUUGCCUGUGCACUAAAGGUUAUCAGUC
rnacentral:lncRNA from 1 species